UCCUUUUACACCACUGCCUCUGGGCUGGCACCACUGGGAAGUCCCAGGGAAAUAUCAAGUUAACACAUCAAAAGUGCAGCACCUUAUCUUUUAUUUCCUUUCUUGGUUGGUUCAAGCUAGAAACUCAAAGCCUCUUGGAAUUCUAAUCCUCCUUCAUGUCUCACGGUCAGCUAGUCAGCACAUCCUUUACAUUCUGAGUCUAGAAUUCUGUCCCUUCUAACUCCACCAAUGCUGCUCAUAGGCAAUGCUGCCAUUCCUCUUCACUGAUGACCUCGCUCUUCUCUCAUCCAAUCUGUCCACAGCCUCCACAGCCAAGGAAUUAUUCUAAAAUAAUUUUUAUGCUAAUAUCUUUCAAUCUCUAUCCAUUACUGACAGGAUAAAGUACAGCCUCACAAAUACAUCACAGAAAGCCCUUUAUGAUACAACCUGUCUGCUGCUUUCUAAUAUGCAGCAAAACUCUGGAGUUACUUGGGAUCCACUGGAAGGCCUGUCUAUCAAGGCGCUCCACCUUCCCUUCCCAAGGAGUGGACGGACCUAAACGAGACCAGUCAGAAGUUCUUCCCAGAAUUUCCACUUGUCCAUUUCUAAAUGGACAAGAAGUGAAGGCAAUUCUCUUUGGUAGCAGUACCUUGAUGGGGCAGUCCAUUCUCUGCCCUCUAGAUCCUACGAGUUAUCCUUGUCCCAGUUAAUAGGUUAUCCUUUCACUUGGAGCAAGAAGACUACUUUCUACUCGGCUGCGCCCAUCUGAGGCUUUGGGAAAACAUACAACUGCAAACACACUCAAUUGAGGCAGGCAGUGAGCGCCAUCUGGGAAAACCUCCUUCUCAGCGAGCUGCUUAUUUGACUUGCCAAAGCGUGGGCUGGUAUAUCCUUUUUAACAGGCUCAGAAUGAAUGAAUGGCAGCAGGAUAAGUGAGGAUGAAGAAUGAGCUGAAGGUGGACUUCACCUACAGCGGCUGAAUUCAGGUAGCCAGGACCUGCAGAACUGCAGAAUCACCGGAUACUCUCAGAAAGCAGAGAUAAACAGGAGACCAUCUGACCUCUAACAACCAUAACAGAAGCAGAUCUAAGACCUGCCAUCUGGACUUUAGAGCCAGGGGUGCAAGCAUUCAACAAACAGGCAGAGCAACAAGAGACCCACGAACAGCACUCCUCCCCACUGUGCAGAGGAGACCAUUGCACUGGACUUUUGCAUCAGAGCUUCCUAUGCUAUAACCAGAAAGUCAAAGCUCCCAGAAAACUUAGCCUAACUGAUCCGUAUCUACAUAUAUUCAGUCAGAGCUCAGAAGAAUUCAUGAACCCAAGAAUUCAGGGGCGCGUUCCUUACAAAUAAAACGCAAAAUAACAGCAACAAUAAAACCCAUUGGAAAGGGGAUCCUCCUGUACUGUCAGUGGGAAUGUAAAUUGGUGUAGCUACUAUGGGAAAAUGGUAUGGUGAUUACUUUAAAAAGUAAAAAUAGAGUUAUGAUCCAGCAAACCCUCUUCUGGGCAUAUAUCCAGAAAAGACAAAAUCUCUAAUUUGAAAUGAUACAUGUAUCCCAAUGCUCACAGCUGCACCUUAGAAUUGUAUGUAUGUGGUCUACACACGCACACGUACAAUGGAAUAUUACUCAGCCAUAAAAAGAAUGAAAUCAUGCCACAUGCAGCAAUAUGGAUGGACCUAGAGGUUAUCAUUUUGAAUUUAGUAAGUCAGAUAAAGAAAGACAAAUAGCAUAUGAUAUCACUUAUGUGGAAUCUAAAAACA
rnacentral:lncRNA from 1 species